GUAGGUGAACCUGCGGAAGGAUCAUUAUCACGUAUCCACGUAUAAACCAAUUCGUGAACUGUUUACAACACCUUUGGGCUAUGGCCGCUGUCAUUGACACAUAGAGCUUAUUGUAUGGUUAUGGGCUCGUCUUUGGCAAUUAAGGCUGUCUCUCCGAAGCGUAUUAAUCAUACUUUAACAUUAACCACUUGAACACUAUAUCAUUUUCUUUGUUUGAACUGAUUUGUUUCUUACUCAGCGCUCCUUACAG
rnacentral:misc_RNA from 1 species